GGACUGUGUAGUGUUCACCACGCUGGUGGCUGUGAGAAGGAAAGGACGUCUUGUGGAGGAGGUGUGUGCCACACUGCCUGACACAAAAUAUACACUCAGUAAACAAGCUGAAUGAAAAUGAAACCAGAAGACCAAUGCUGGAGCCCAAACUAGGCUCACGUAGGAGAAGCAAGGUGGUUCCACAACAGAGAUGCUCUUGGCUGUGGAACAUCUAAUGCUGGAUCUCAGAGCGAGCCUAGGCUUCACUGUGCUCAUCGUGAAGAGCUGCUCCUUGAGCUCGAAGAAUACAUGGAUGCCUUGCUUACCACGUAAAUGCCUUGACUCAGGAUUCUGAGAUUCUGAUCUGAGUGAUCUGACUGAUGUGGCUCUACGCUUUUGGCCAGGGUGUUUGCAUCUCUAACAGGACCUUCGAUGCCAGUACAGGGAGAAAAAUUAACGUCACCACACAUCCACCUUCAACUUCCAGAAAAGUCUAAACUUCUAAGUAUAAACACUACAUUGAAUUGUGUACUUUAUUGCAUGCAUGAUAAGGUUUGAUUAAAAAUUUU
rnacentral:lncRNA from 1 species